UACGUAGGGACCAAGCGUUGUUCGGAUUUACUGGGCGUAAAGGGCGCGUAGGCGGCCACCGCAAGUCGACUGUGAAAUCUCCGGGCUUAACCCGGAAAGGUCAGCCGAUACUGCGGGGCUAGAGUGCAGAAGGGGCAACUGGAAUUCUCGGUGUAGCGGUGAAAUGCGUAGAUAUCGAGAGGAACACCUGCGGCGAAGGCGGGUUGCUGGGCUGACACUGACGCUGAUGCGCGAAAGCUAGGGGAGCGAACAGG
rnacentral:rRNA from 1 species